ACGUACACUCCUGCGGGAGGCAGCAGUGGGGAAUAUUGCACAAUGGGCGCAAGCCUGAUGCAGCCAUGCCGCGUGUAUGAAGAAGGCCUUCGGGUUGUAAAGUACUUUCAGCGGGGAGGAAGGCGAUAAGGUUAAUAACCUUGUCGAUUGACGUUACCCGCAGAAGAAGCACCGGCUAACUCCGUGCCAGCAGCCGCGGUAAUACGGAGGGUGCAAGCGUUAAUCGGAAUUACUGGGCGUAAAGCGCACGCAGGCGGUCUGUCAAGUCGGAUGUGAAAUCCCCGGGCUCAACCUGGGAACUGCAUUCGAAACUGGCAGGCUAGAGUCUUGUAGAGGGGGGUAGAAUUCCAGGUGUAGCGGUGAAAUGCGUAGAGAUCUGGAGGAAUACCGGUGGCGAAGGCGGCCCCCUGGACAAAGACUGACGCUCAGGUGCGAAAGCGUGGGGAGCAAACAGGAUUAGAUACCCGAGUAGUCCCAUGAU
rnacentral:rRNA from 1 species